UACAGAGGUCCCAAGCGUUUGUUCGGAUUCAUUGGGCGUAAAGGGUGCGUAGGCGGCGCGGUAAGUCGGGUGUGAAAUCCCGAGGCUCAACCUCGGAACUGCCUUCGAUACUGAUGAUCUUGAGUCCGGAAGAGGAGAGUGGAAUUCCUGGUGUAGCGGUGAAAUGCGCAGAUAUCAGGAAGAACACCCGUGGCGAAGGCGGCUCUCUGGGACGGUACUGACGCUGAGACGCGAAAGCGUGGGGAGCGAACAGG
rnacentral:rRNA from 1 species